AGCUUUGCACGGUGGCAGUAUCGUAGCCAAUGAGGUUUAUCCGAGGAGUGAUUAUUGCUAAUUGAAAACUUAAAGGUGUGUGGGGACUACACCAAACCCUGUAAUAACACAACUAAGUGGCAACAUAUUGUGAAAGGAAUGGAAAAUA
ensembl:snRNA LOC120103375 U4 spliceosomal RNA